AUUGAACGCUGGCGGCAUGCCUUACACAUGCAAGUCGAACGGCAGCAUGGAGAGCUUGCUCUCUGAUGGCGAGUGGCGAACGGGUGAGUAAUGCAUCGGAACGUACCGUGUAAUGGGGGAUAACGUAGCGAAAGUUACGCUAAUACCGCAUACGACCUGAGGGUGAAAGCAGGGGAUCGCAAGACCUUGCGUUAUACGAGCGGCCGAUGUCAGAUUAGCUAGUUGGUGAGGUAAAGGCUCACCAAGGCGACGAUCUGUAGCGGGUCUGAGAGGAUGAUCCGCAACACUGGGACGGAGACACGGCCCAGACGCCUACGGGAGGCAGCAGUGGGGAAUUUUGGACAAUGGGGGCAACCCUGAUCCAGCCAUGCCGCGUGAGUGAAGAAGGCCUUCGGGUUGUAAAGCUCUUUCGGCCGGGAAGAAAUCGCACAGGCUAAUACUCUGUGUGGAUGACGGUACCGGCAUAAGAAGCACCGGCUAACUACGUGCCAGCAGCCGCCGUAA
rnacentral:rRNA from 1 species